rnacentral:rRNA from 1 species
AGCGAACGCUGGCGGCAGGCCUAACACAUGCAAGUCGAACGAAGUCUUCGGACUUAGUGGCGGACGGGUGAGUAACACGUGGGAACGUGCCUUUAGGUUCGGAAUAACUAAGGGAAACUUGUGCUAAUACCGAAUGUGCCCUUCGGGGGAAAGAUUUAUCGCCUUUAGAGCGGCCCGCGUCUGAUUAGCUAGUUGGUGAGUUAAAGGCUCACCAAGGCGAAGAUCAGUAGCUGGUCUGAGAGGAUGAUCAGCCACAUUGGGACUGAGACACGGCUCGAACUCCUACGGGAUGCAGCAGUGGGGAAUCUUGCGCAAUGGGCGAAAGCCUGACGCAGCCAUGCCGCGUGAAUGAUGAAGGUCUUAGGAUUGUAAAAUUCUUUCACCGGGGACGAUAAUGACGGUACCCGGAGAAGAAGCCCCGGCUAACUUCGUGCCAGCCGCCGCGGUAAAAC